GCCAUUUUGGGCUGGGAGGAGGCAGCGGAGGGACUCGCUGCGCAGGGCGCAGAUCCUGAGGCCGAGCUCUGCCAACUUCCCUCCCCACCCCCAUUCGGCCUGGGUAUGGCGGCGAGGUCCCGCACAGAGGGACUCCCACUUCGACUGGAGAAGUGGGGGCGACGCCAGAUUCCAGAGGCUGGCGCCGCGGGGGAGGGCGGAGGUCGCAGGUCUGGCCGCAAGUCGGCGUGGCAGUCAACUGGAGGCUCCGAGAGCGGAGAUCCCAGUGCACCCACCUUGCCUCGCUUACACCAAAGCGCCAUCUCGCCGCCCGGGUUGCGAAAAACCACGGCCGUCUUAAACUACUGUAGCAACCACUAAUUCCCCCUGGGACCAGCUAGAUAGGGGCACGUGGAAACCUUCACGAGCCCGGUGCCUGAAGGUCUCUGAGGCUCUUGCCCUCAAGAUCUCUCCCAUUCAGCUCCGAUUCUCCGGACACCCUGACGUAGCAUGUCGCCAGCCUGUUGGUGAAAAGCCUGAAGUGUGCUGCCCCACUUCUCUUGAAGGUUUACACCAAAGGGAUGAGGUUUUGUGCUUUACAGGCUUGGGGCACAAAGUCGGAGUCACUGCGGCUCCAAAAUAGAAAUGGAGUUGCCCAUUUCGUAUGCUUCAUCAACAUCUGCUUGCAUUUUGAAAUCCGAGUCUUAACUUUUACAAAACUUGUAGAGAAAUGGCUGCCCUCCUAGAGGGAAAAACGAACUACAGUAAUUCCAAUUCCAGUGUAAUAAUCUUCGUAAGGCUACAGAAUCUUUCCAGUUUAAAGAUUUUUUUCCCCCCACAGACUAAACAAAAUCAGAGUAUUUUGUGUUCUACUGAUGCAUUGUUACUAGGUAACCUCUAUUUUGAAAUUCCAAGUAAUUGAAAGAUCACUUUUGUAGAUCCUAAAUGCUACCAAAAUAGAAAUUGCAGUUUUUAUCUACUUAAUAUAUAUAGCGUUUAAGAGAUGAGGAGACCUGCUUUGAAAGAAUAAACUCUUAACCUUACA